rnacentral:rRNA from 1 species
AAGCAUAUCAAUAAGCGGAGGAAAAGAAACCAACAGGGAUUGCCCUAGUAACGGCGAGUGAAGCGGCAACAGCUCAAAUUUGAAAUCUGGCGCAAGCCCGAGUUGUAAUUUGUAGAGGAUGCUUCUGGGUAGCGACCGGUCUAAGUUCCUUGGAACAGGACGUCAUAGAGGGUGAGAAUCCCGUAUGUGACCGGCCCGCACCCUUUACGUAGCUCCUUCGACGAGUCGAGUUGUUUGGGAAUGCAGCUCUAAAUGGGAGGUAAAUUUCUUCUAAAGCUAAAUACCGGCCAGAGACCGAUAGCGCACAAGUAGAGUGAUCGAAAGAUGAAAAGUACUUUGGAAAGAGAGUUAAAAAGCACGUGAAAUUGUUGAAAGGGAAGCGCCUGCAAUCAGACUUCGCGGCAGUGUUCCGCCGGUCUUCUGACCGGUUUAUUCUCUGUCGCGAGGCCAUCAUCGUCUCGGCCCGCUGGAUAAGACCUUGGGAAUGUAGCUCACCUUCGGGGGAGUGUUAUAGCUCAUGGUGAUGCAGCGAGGCUGGGGCGAGGUCCGCGCUUCGGCAAGGAUGAUGGCGUAAUGGUUGUCGGCGGCCCGUCUUGAAACACGGACCAAGGAGUCUAACAUCUAUGCGAGUGUUCGGGUGUCAAACCCCUACGCGUAAUGAAAGUGAACGGAGGUGGGAACCGCAAGGUGCACCAUCGACCGAUCCUGAUGUCCUCGGAUGGAUUUGAGUAAGAGCAUAGCUGUUGGGACCCGAAAGAUGGUGAACUAUGCCUGAAUAGGGUGAAGCCAGAGGAAACUCUGGUGGAGGCUCGCAGCGGUUCUGACGUGCAAAUCGAUCGUCAAAUUUGGGUAUAGGGGCGAAAGACUAAUCGAACCAUCUAGUAGCUGGUUCCUG